rnacentral:rRNA from 1 species
GACGAACGCUGGCGGCAUGCCUAACACAUGCAAGUCGAACGGUAAGGCUUCCUUCGGGAAGUACACGAGUGGCGAACGGGUGAGUAACACGUGGGUAACCUACCCUUGACUGGGGGACAACCGAGGGAAACUUCGGCUAAUACCGCAUAACGUGCAUUGCCUCAAGGUGGUGUACCAAAGCUCCGGCGGUUAAGGAUGGGCCCGCGGCAGAUUAGCUUGUUGGUGAGGUAACGGCUGACCAAGGCGACGAUCUGUAGCUGGUCUGAGAGGACGAUGAGCCACCAUGGAACUGGGACACGGUCCAGACCCUGCCGGGGGGCAGCAGGGGGGAAUCUGGCGAAAGGGGCGAAAGCCGAACGCCGCAAUGCCGCGUGAGGGAAGACGGCCUUAGGGUUGAAAACCUCUUUCAGCAGGGACGAACCCAGACGGUACCUGCAGAAGAAGCCCCGGCUAACUACGUGCCAGCCGCCGCGGUAA